rnacentral:rRNA from 1 species
UGGGGAAUAUUGCACAAUGGGCGCAAGCCUGAUGCAGCCAUGCCGCGUGUAUGAAGAAGGCCUUCGGGUUGUAAAGUACUUUCAGUCGGGAGGAAGGUGGUAAGGUUAAUAACCUUAUCAAUUGACGUUACCGACAGAAGAAGCACCGGCUAACUCCGUGCCAGCAGCCGCGGUAAUACGGAGGGUGCAAGCGUUAAUCGGAAUUACUGGGCAUAAAGCGCACGCAGGCGGUUGAUUGAGUCAGAUGUGAAAUCCCCGGGCUUAACCCGGGAAUUGCAUCUGAUACUGGUCAGCUAGAGUCUUGUAGAGGGGGGUAGAAUUCCAUGUGUAGCGGUGAAAUGCGUAGAGAUGUGGAGGAAUACCGGUGGCGAAGGCGGCCCCCUGGACAAAGACUGACGCUCAGGUGCGAAAGCGUGGGGAGCAAACAGG